AGUGAACGCUGGCGGUAGGCCUAACACAUGCAAGUCGAACGGCAGCACAGUAAGAGCUUGCUCUUACGGGUGGCGAGUGGCGGACGGGUGAGGAAUACAUCGGAAUCUACUUUUUCGUGGGGGAUAACGUAGGGAAACUUACGCUAAUACCGCAUACGACCUACGGGUGAAAGCAGGGGAUCUUCGGACCUUGCGCGAUUGAAUGAGCCGAUGUCGGAUUAGCUAGUUGGCGGGGUAAAGGCCCACCAAGGCGACGAUCCGUAGCUGGUCUGAGAGGAUGAUCAGCCACACUGGAACUGAGACACGGUCCAGACUCCUACGGGAGGCAGCAGUGGGGAAUACUGGACAAUGGGCGCAAGCCUGAUCCAGCCAUACCGCGUGGGUGAAGAAGGCCUUCGGGUUGUAAAGCCCUUUUGUUGGGAAAGAAAAGCAGCAGGUUAAUACCCCGCUGCUCUGACGGUACCCAAAGAAUAAGCACCGGCUAACUUCGUG
rnacentral:rRNA from 1 species